UACGGAGGGUGCAAGCGUUAAUCGGAAUUACUGGGCGUAAAGGGUGUGUAGGCGGUCUUUUAAGUUUGGUGUGAAAUCUCCCGGCUUAACCGGGAGGGUGCGCCGAAUACUGAGGGACUAGAGUGCGGGAGAGGAAAGUGGAAUUCCUGGUGUAGCGGUGAAAUGCGUAGAUAUCAGGAGGAACACCGAUGGCGAAGGCAGCUCGCUGGGACGGUACUGACGCUGAGGCGCGAAAGCGUGGGGAGCGAACAGG
rnacentral:rRNA from 1 species